rnacentral:rRNA from 1 species
UACAUGGGGUGCAAACGUUGCUCGGAAUUAUUGGGCGUAAAGCGCGCGUAGGCGGUUACUUAUGUCGGAUGUGAAAGCCCUCGGCUUAACUGAGGAAGUGCAUUCGAAACUGGGUAGCUAGAGUACUAAAGAGGGUCGCGGAAUUCCCGGUGUAGAGGUGAAAUUCGUAGAUAUCGGGAGGAACACCUGUGGCGAAAGCGGCGCACUGGACCACAUCUGACGCUGAGGCGCGAAAGCUAGGGGAGCAAACAGG